rnacentral:rRNA from 1 species
GUCCCGGCCCUAAACGGUGCAUGUUUGCUGUAGGAGGAAUCGACCCCUUCUGUGGCGAAGCUAACGCGAUAAACAUGCCGCCUGGGGAGUACGGUCGCAAGAUUAAAACUCAAAGAAAUUGACGGGGGCCUGCACAAGCGGUGGAGUAUGUGGCUUAAUUCGAUGCAACGCGAAGAACCUUACCUGGCCUUGACAUGCAUUUGGUAGAACCAUGAAAGUGGGACGACCCCGCAAGGGGAGGAUGCACAGGUGCUGCAUGGCUGUCGU